GUUGUAUGGUUAAGUGACUAAGCGUACACGGUGGAUGCCUUGGCAGUCAGAGGCGAUGAAAGACGUAGUAACUUGCGAUAAGCCCAGAUUAGGUAGUAACAACCAUUUGAGUCUGGGAUUUCUGACUGGGGAAACCCACGUGCAUAAGCACGUAUC
rnacentral:rRNA from 1 species